rnacentral:rRNA from 1 species
GGCGAACGGGUGAGUAACGCGUAAGAACCUGCCCUUGGGAGGGGAACAACAACUGGAAACGGUUGCUAAUACCCCGUAGGCUGAGGAGCAAAAGGAGAAAUCCGCCCAAGGAGGGGCUCGCGUCUGAUUAGCUAGUUGGUGAGGCAAUAGCUUACCAAGGCGAUGAUCAGUAGCUGGUCCGAGAGGAUGAUCAGCCACACUGGGACUGAGACACGGCCCAGACUCCUACGGGAGGCAGCAGUGGGGAAUUUUCCGCAAUGGGCGAAAGCCUGACGGAGCAAUGCCGCGUGGAGGUGGAAGGCCUACGGGUCGUCAACUUCUUUUCUCGGAGAAGAAACAAUGACGGUAUCUGAGGAAUAAGCAUCGGCUAACUCUGUGCCAGCAGCCGCGGUAAGACAGAGGAUGCAAGCGUUAUCCGGAAUGAUUGGGCGUAAAGCGUCUGUAGGUGGCUUUUCAAGUCCGCCGUCAAAUCCCAGGGCUCA